rnacentral:misc_RNA from 1 species
UCCCGGUUACCCGGGCGGUCUCGUGUGAAAAAUACAACACACGACAAGGGUUGCGCUCGUUGCGGGACUUAACCCAACAUCUCACGACACGAGCUGACGACGGCCAUGCAGCAUCUGUCUCCAGGUUCCCGAAGGCACGGCACUGUUUCCAGCGCUUUCCUGGGAUGUCAAACCUCGGUAAGGUUCUUCGCGUAGCAUCGAAUUAAACCACAUGUUCCACUGCUUGUGCGGGCCCCCGCCAAUUCCUUUGAGUUUUAAUCUUGCGAUCGUACUCCCCAGGCGGCAUACUUAACGCGUUAGCUUCUCAGCCCAGAGGGUCGAUACUCCAGACUGACAGUAUGCAUCGUUUACGGCGUGGACUAC